GACUCUUAUGUGCUGGGAAACCCUCCUAAGUCCCAUGCUAGCAGUGUGCACUGGGACUGUUGUUCAUCUUAGAAAUCUCAUGCCUUGGAGCUCAUCUGCCUAGGACUCCUGUCCUACGUGGUUCCACAGCCUUCAGCACCUCCAUGGAGUGCAGGCAUAUGGAAAAAUGACAAAAGUUUUGAUAACUUCCUUGGGCUGUUUCCCUGGAGACCAUGAUGAUAAUGGCCCUAACAGCUUUCUGGCCCCUGCUGGUAGAUCAUCUGAGAAUGGAUGCAGAGAUCUUUCACAGUCUCAGAAGUACCUAUAGCAGACAUAUUUAGUAGGUCCUGGAGGAGAUGGAGAAAUCUCUAUCCAUCAAAAAAUGACAAACACUGAAUGAGUUUUACAAGUCGACU